ensembl:lncRNA
UACUUUUUUUCCUUUCAAAUUAUGUCAUGUCUUUGUUUUAUUCCUCCUUUUAUCCUUGUAAGUCCAGUAACAUGCAGUUAUUGGAAAGUCACAGAUGACAGGGCUUGUCACCCUCUUUCUCUCUCUCAGAUUUAGAUGUCCAGUGAAAGCUAAGCUCAGCCUUUGGCCCCUUCCUAGAGAGCGUGGGAUAAACUGCCAGCUGGGUCUCCCUCUGCCCUCUGUAAAUGGAGCCCAGAGGAGCAGCCUGGCUUCAGCUGUUGUCAUCUGCCUUCACACACGCUUUGUGCUGCUCCCCCUGGCUCCAGAUGGCCAGAGAGAAGACAGACAGAUAUCACAGUGCAGGCACCAUGGAGCAGCCCCAGCAGCCUGGAGAAGAGACAAUCCAUUUUUCCCUUUCUGGGAUUAUCCUACUUUAUGUUUCCUGACUAUGCAGGACGUGGUGUAGUUGGUAGACUGGCCCUCAUAUAAGUGAUUAUAUGGAUAAACCUGUCCAGCUGCUGAUUCCUGCAGCAUGGAGUGUGAUUCUGAGUGUUUCCAUCUUCCCAGAGCUUCUUUCCAGGAUGCAACAGUGCAAGCCCUCCAUUUCAACCAUUCUGGCUGGUGACAGGAUGGCCUCAGUGUUCUUUUCAUCUGCAAUAAUCGGUAAAAAGUAUUAAUGUUGGAGGGUCAUCUCAUGGGGCCCAAUGAAGACCUUCUCCCAAAUACUAUGGAGUGAGGACAGUCAAUUUUUGUCAUUUGGUGCCCAUGUCUCAUCACUCUCACACCAAGAAUUUCUUCCCAAUUUCUAUUCUAAACCUGCCCUCUGUCAGUUUCAAGCUAUUAUCCCUUGUUCUAUGACAACACACCCUGUAAAAAGUCCCCAUCCAGCCUUCUUGUAGCUCCCUUCAGGCACUGUAAGGCUGCUGUCAUUGUAACCACUGCUUCACUGGUUCCCAUUCUUGCUUUUCCUAAGGCUGUAGUAGAUUUUCAAGAAAUUGGAUCAUUUGAAAGGGUCACUGGAUGAAAGGUUCAACUUGUAGAUGCAUAUUCAAAUCUGGAAGACUGAGUGCAAAGCAGACCCCUAGACCUGUAAGGGAAAUGUGAGCAGGAUGUACAUGAUUUCAGGCUGCAACAAAAAAUACAAUCCCUGUCAGCAUUAUGACUUGCCAUCCUUCAUAGUACUAUGAAUUUGGAAGCUGAAAGAAAAAUAGGGAACUUUGGAAGUUCUCUAGUAGCUAUUACGGGAAGUGGUAUAGCUCUAUUCAAAUAAAUGUGUCCCACUUCCAACA